rnacentral:tRNA from 1 species
AGCAGCUGAACGGUGGCAAGGUCCUCGAGCUAAAGGGGGUCGGUGGUUCAAGUCCACCCGUAGCUACCA